CACUAUGAAGCUAGAACGGAAAACAGCAUUAGCCUUUUAAGCUAAAGAUCGGUGACUCCAACCACCCUUAGUGA
rnacentral:tRNA from 1 species